rnacentral:tRNA from 1 species
CUAUAGCUCAGUUGGUUAGAGCACACGCCUGAUAAGCGUGAGGUCGGUGGUUCGAAUCCACUUAGGCCCACCAA